UACGUAGGGUGCGAGCGUUAAUCGGAAUUACUGGGCGUAAAGUGUGCGCAGGCGGCAGAGCAAGUCGAGUGUGAAAGCCCCGGGCUUAACUUGGGAAUUGCGCUCGAAACUACUUUGCUGGAGUGUGGCAGAGGAAGGUGGAAUUCCACGUGUAGCGGUGAAUUGCGUAGAGAUGUGGAGGAACACCAAUGGCGAAGGCAGCCUUCUGGGCCAACACUGACGCUCAUGCACGAAAGCGUGGGGAGCAAACAGG
rnacentral:rRNA from 1 species